rnacentral:rRNA from 1 species
UACGGGGGGGGCAAGCGUUGUUCGGAAUUACUGGGCGUAAAGGGCUCGUAGGCGGCCAACUAAGUCAGACGUGAAAUCCCUCGGCUUAACCGGGGAACUGCGUCUGAUACUGGAUGGCUUGAAUCCGGGAGAGGGAUGCGGAAUUCCAGGUGUAGCGGUGAAAUGCGUAGAUAUCUGGAGGAACACCGGUGGCGAAGGCGGCAUCCUGGACCGGCAUUGACGCUGAGGAGCGAAAGCCAGGGGAGCAAAACGGG